rnacentral:rRNA from 1 species
GGGUUUGAUUAUACCAACGUUAAUGCAUUGGAUCCCAUCAUAACUCCACAAUUAAGUGCACUUGGACUAAAGUAGUAUUGGGAUGGGUGACUUCCAAGGACGUUCUAGUGUUGCACCGU